UAAAUCUUUUCAUGCGGUUCCUAAAGAAAUUAAUGGCGCAGAGAUAAACGCGGUUUUGAAGUUAGUGACUUCGUGCCAGAAACGGGAAUGUCACAACCGAGAGAAGAUUCGUCGUCUUCGUGUUUCGACGAUUCACUAUUGUCUUCCGAGCUUGCAUGUCUAAAAGGAAUGAGUCGAUAUAAUUGCUCUAUUUAGAAAAAUUAUUCUUUCGUUUUUCUAACCGAGAAAAACGGAAAGGCAAUAAAACUGGGAAUGAAAGGAUGAGGCAGAGAAAAUGCAGAAUAAGGUUUUGGCUAUCUACUUCUCAGCUUAGGAAAUACAGUAAAAUCGAUUGAAACACUUCCAAUUUGUGUAUGAAGAUGGAGAGGUGGAAAGCCCAAAACAAAAAAUUCCUCUAUACCUAAAAUAUCUUGUCAAUUCAAACAAGAUUCCUAUGACUAGGAUUAAAUCAAACAAGGGAAUGAAUUGGUCUGCUGCGCCGAAGGGAAGCAAAUACCAUAAAAAAAA